rnacentral:rRNA from 1 species
UACAGAGGGUGCGAGCGUUAAUCGGAAUUACUGGGCGUAAAGCGCGCGAGGCGGUUUUGUAAGUCGGGUGUGAAAUCCCCAAGCUUAACUUGGGAACUGCAUUCGAGACUGCAUAGCUAGAGUAUGGGAGAGGGAAGUGGAAUUUCAGGUGUAGCGGUGAAAUGCGUAGAUAUCUGAAGGAACAUCAGUGGCGAAAGCGACUUCCUGGACCAAUACUGACGCUCAUGUGCGAAAGCGUGGGGAGCAAACAGG